rnacentral:rRNA from 1 species
UACGUAGGGGGCAAGCGUUGUCCGGAUUUAUUGGGCGUAAAGGGUGCGUAGGCGGCUCUGUAAGUCAGUUGUGAAAUACGGCAGCUUAACUGUCGAGGUGCAAUUGAUACUGCGGGGCUUGAGUACUGAUGAGGUAGGCGGAAUGGACGGUGUAGCGGUGAAAUGCUUAGAGAUCGUCCAGAACACCGAUAGCGAAGGCAGCUUACUAAGGAGUAACUGACGCUGAGGCACGAAAGUGUGGGGAUCAAACAGG